UUCUCUUUCACAUGUUUCACUUAUAAGGUUGUUUAAAAAAUAACAACUACCUUCUCGGUUUGCACCAUAACCACAAAAUAUAUUGAUUAGCUGGCAGGCAUCAAUAAAAAUCUACAGCACAUUCACAAAGUCUUCAGACCCCUUCACUUUUUUCACAUGUUGUAAUGUUGCAGCCUGAUGCUAAAAUCAAUUAAAUUCAUUUUCCCUCUUCAAUCUACACUCAAUUCACCAUAAUUACAAACUUACAGAAAAUGAAUUUUAUGAAUUUUUGCAAAUGUAUUUUAAAACUAAAGCCUGAAAUACCACAUUGACAUAAGUAUUCAGACAGUUUACUGUGAUUCUUGAAGUUUAGUUUAGUUCAGGUUCCUCCAUUUCCCUUGAUCAUCUCUGAGAUGUUUCUUCACCUUGACCAAGAACCUGAUGGUCACUCUGAGCUCCAGACAUCCUGCGUGGAGAUGGAGAAACUUCCAGAAGAACAACCAUCACUGCAGCUCUCCACUGAUCUGGGUUUUAUGUCAGAGUCCAGACGAAGCCUCUCCUCAGGGUCAGUUUGUAUAAAAGCAGCUAAAGCACUCUGAGACUGAGAGAAACCAGAGUCUCUGGUCUGAUGAGACCAGGACUGAACUGUUUGGUCUCAGUUCUAAGAGUCAUGUCACUGCUCAUCACCUGAACAACACCAUCCCUACAGUGCAGCAUGGUGGAGGCAGCAUCAGGCAAUGGGGGGGACAGGGAGACUGGUCGGGCUGAGGGAAAGCUGAACGGAGUAAAGUACAGAGAGAUCUUUAAUGAAAACCUGGUCCAGAGCUCAGGACCUCAGACUGGGCUGAAGGUUCACACAGCCAAGAAAACACAGGAGAGGCUUAGAAAGGACUCUGUGAAUGUCCCCGAGUAGACCAGCCAGAGUCCUGAGCCUGAACCACAUCCAACAUUUCUGGACCCGAACAUGUCUGUCCACUGACGUCCCCAUCCAACCUGACAGAGUCUGAGAGGAUCUGCAGAGAAGAACAAAGAAAAUCCCAAAUCCAGAUGUGCAAAGGUUGUGUUGUCAGACCCAAGAAGACUGGAGGCUGUAAUCACAGCCAGAGGUGCUUUAACUAAGUCCUGAGCAAAGUGUCUGAACACUUACGUUAGUGAUAUUUCAGUUUCUCCUUUUUGAUACAUAUGCAAAAAAAUUCUAAAAUUCAGUUUUCUGAAGGGAAAAGGGAAUUUGAUUUUUAUUAAUGAUUUGAUUGGAAAAAAUGAACAAUUUUAACAUGAGGCUUCAACAUAGCACAAUGUGAAAAAAAGUGAAGGGGUCUGAACACUCUCUGAAUGAACUGUAUAUGGGGAGACUUCAAACAUGUGUCCAGUCAACAAAUCAACGUCUGUACACAGACACUCGUUCCCUCUGUUGUAAACCACGGCUACAGUAACGACAGGACUGGUACAGCAGCCACUUACAUAACAGCAGCAGCAUAUGACACAGGCUUGUUUCCCAGUCAAAGGAUUAAGCUCAUUUAUGUAAUGCUCUUACAUUGAGGGGCUUGUGCUGAGCACCAGGAAGACUGCAGCGUCCUGAGUGUUAAUGGCUGCGGAGCUCAAUGAAUAGAUAGUAAGAGAGAGAGAGUGACCGGCUCUCCAGGCUCAGGCUGGAAUGUGGAGGGAAACACUGUGUGUGUGCUGUAGUGUGGUCAAUCAUAGUCCAGGUCCAGGAGAAUGAAACACCCACCAUCUAACCUUAAAAGCUCCUGUUAGAGGUGUGCCACAUCAUACAGUUUAUGUUAAUACCAGCAUGAAUCAUGUGAGAAAAAUUUGUCAUAUCAUGAUAUUAACUGGAGAAACUGGUUCAAAGAAAAGGGAACAAGUUGUGACGAAGGAAGAAGUUUGAUAACAACAUCACGCAGUUAUCUACUGACCUGACCUGUGUGAGGAGAAUCUCAGAGGAGAGCAAACAGUAGGCUGAAGUUAGUUUGAUAAUCACCAUUGGACACCCAAUAAGGCCUGCAUAGGGUUGAAGUUAGUUUAAAGUUAAGGUCUAUUUUAACAUCAGUAGAUUCUUGUGUAAAACGUAUCUUUAACAUGUGGCCAUUGAGAUGGUUAUUCACAAAAUACCAAGACACCUUGUUAUCAUGAUAUUCCUUUAAGGCCAUAUCACCUUCCUCUGACUACACGUCCUCACAGCUGACAAACAUUUCCCUUUUAAUUUAGACCCAUUUUUACAAACAGGAGGGUUUAAUCAACUGACCAGUUGCUAAUAUUGGUAACUGAUGCUACAGGAAGCUGCUGCUGCCUCACAUUAAAGUGGAAAGUGGAAAAUUUGAACAGUGACGCAGUGACAAGAAGUAUUUUUUGUUUUAGGAAUCUUAAAGGGGAAGUCCAGUUUGUUCUUAUUGCCUUUGGCCAUCAUCAAUAAUAAUGACAUCCUGCUCACCAAGUUCAUAGCUGAGAUCUAGUAACACGGAAGCAUUGCUAGAGAGAAGUCUGAUGGGGGGUACAAUUCAUUUUUAGUUCAGGAUAAAAAUCCAGAUAAUAUGGUUAAACUGUUGUCUUGCUAAAGGCAACAUGUUCUGCUUUUUGUGAUUUUUCUCUUUUAUAUACUGUUGUGAUGUUGGAUGUCCAUGUUAAACACAGUUAAAAUUCCCAAACUACAUAAACUUAUAAUAAGAUGCCUCCUGCAAGACAAAAGCCAGAGUUUCAGUCUGCUCUGAAAACUUCGUUCAACGUUUUUUCUGCUCCAUGACACUGAUGUAUGAACUCUGUGGAAAUCCAUAAACAAACCUCCGCUCCAGGCCUCAGCACCAGAGCACACCCAUGUAGUGCAACCUACUGGGACUUCAACCACAGUGCCUGGAAGAAAGAGUUUCUGUUGUGGCUGCGGUGGAGCAAAGGCAACUUUAGGCACUAGCGGGUAUCGUUUGCAUAUUUUGGAUACAGCAGCUCAUACAGCAGCAGUACAAUUGGUACAUAUUUGUCUGGACUCUGCGUUCCACCAAGUGACCGCGUUCAGCAGCCAUCACCCGCCUGCUUGCUGGGAUUGUCGGCUGCUACUGAAGGAUGUGCAGCUCCAGCUUCAGAACCAUAACCUACUUUCCAUCUCGGUCCUGAUGAUGAAAUGAGAAUGAGAUUAGACAUUGAUAUGAAACAUUUUAGCUCAACUCAGCACUACUUUCAACCACAAUGGCUAAUGCAGUAAUCAUGGUUGUGGCACGAGAGGAAUGCUAUGCUGUAUGAGUAUUGUAGCGGUGUGACCCGUCCAUUCCAGGCAACCAUAAACUUGUUACCAGAUCAGCACAGUUUAAGCUUGAAAAUUUAAAAUUGGACAACACUGAGGAAUUAAAAAAACGUGUAGGGGCCAAUAUAUCACUGAGCCCCUUCCCAAUUCUUUUCAGCAGUUAGAUGAGAGUAAUAGCUCAACAGAGGAGAAGGAAAUGGUCAUCAAGUUCAACACUACCUAUAACAAAGCAAGAAAAAAAAGGAUGUGACCAAAUCAUGUGCUGGUGCAACCAACUGAGGAAGUUGGCAGCACCAGUACUAACAGUGGAAAAGGAGGAGCCCUGAGAAUAGGUAAGUCCCACUAGAAUUACUACAAAAACUAAAAUAAACAUACAAAACUCUUUCAUCAGGCUACAUAAGAAUUGGGAGUGGUCUUUAGAAAAUGUGAAUUAAAGAAAAAUAUUUACAUGUCAGUCACUUUUCCGGUUCACCUUGAACUGAAAUAGACACUGUAGUAUACUUUGAAAGCUACAUUUAAGGAUCACACAAUUACAGAGGUGGUGUGCCAUCACUUUCAGCAAGGUAAGCAGUUAAAGCUAAUAAUAGACAUCAGUUACAAUGAUACUGAAGUGGAGGGGAUCUCUCUCCAGUGUUCUGUCCCCUAAAGGAUCUGAUGUUUGUUAGUAUCCAUCAUGUAAUUCACUGCCCUCUUGUGGCCACAGUAGACUAGUAGACUGUCUCUGGAAGCUAGCUUGACUGUAGGUCGUGGUUUUUAUCAUUUCAUGUCAUUUUCAUGGCAUGGCCAUGUCCUGUUGGCAAUGGCUUGGGUUUGUCAUGUGGAGAAGGAAGCAGCAUUUUUUAUGUGUAUGAGCGUUGUGGAUAUACCUGGGAUCUUUGAUAGGUGACCAGCUAUAGCUAGCUACAGACAAGUGACUGCCCUUGACUCAGUUUCCAUUGUUCUGAGAUCAGUUAUGAUAUUGCACACAUUAUUAUACACUUGUGCAGAUGUGUGUAGAAGGUAAACUUGCGCAUUGGAAAACUUCUUAAACGUUCUUUUCUUCCUAAGCGUUAAGAGGCGGCAGUAGCAAGUAAAGUAAGUAAAUUAGACUGAUUUGUCAUCUCAGAUCAGUAUGAGUUGUCUUACUAAUCACAUUGGUCAACGAUGACGAGAGAGGUUGUAUUGUGGAACAACUUUUAAUAACUUCUUUUGCAAAGAACGCUUUCACAGACAUGUAUUUAUGUAUUUAAAGUUUACCAUGUAACACAAUACCCACACCUUUUAAUUCUCUUUGCUUUUUAGUAUCAUGUUGAUAUCUUUAACUCUGUAAGGGUUCGCUGUGCAGUAAGUUUGAGGCAGAACAUUGAAUCAGGAAAAUACAGGAUUCUGUAUUGUCACUGUGUGGUCUGUCUGGUUAAUAUUUGCCAUUAAUCAAGAUUACCAUAGAAGUGUCAUUUGAUAUGUUUACUCUCAGUUCAAAGCAAUAAAGCUAAUUCUUCAGUGCAGCAAGGUGAAGAUGUCCAGGCAGAGAGCAGCAGGAUACAGGAGAGAAACUGUCUGCACAGGAAAGACAGGCAGCACAAAAUCAUGAGACAGAACAGGCCCUGAAUUAAAGAGAGAUUUGCUACUACUACUACUACUACUACUACUGUCAAGAAAAGUAAGAGAGACCAUCAAAGGAGGAUGUAGUGCCUGAAGACAACAGCAGUCAGCAGCAUCAGGAACGUCUUGAGUUAUCCACAGGAAGUUAAGAUGACCAGUCUGACUUUCUACUCUGGAACCUCCUACACCAACGACACAACUUCAGGACAAGAAAAAUCUUUUCCCUUGAGAUGGGACAUGAUCUGGACUGUGUAGAUAAAAGUCUCCGGCAGCUUUGUGCAUUACAUUCUUCAGGCUGUGUUUACAUUUCAUUUGAUAUAAAUAAAGUGUUUUA